rnacentral:rRNA from 1 species
AGAGUUUGAUCAUGGCUCAGGACGAACGCUGGCGGCGUGCCUAAUACAUGCAAGUAGAACGCUGAAGACUGGUGCUUGCACUAGUCAGAUGAGUUGCGAACGGGUGAGUAACGCGUAGGUAACCUACCUCAUAGCGGGGGAUAACUAUUGGAAACGAUAGCUAAUACCGCAUGACAAUUAAGUACUCAUGUACUAAAUUUAAAAGGAGCAAUUGCUUCACUAUGAGAUGGACCUGCGUUGUAUUAGCUAGUUGGUGAGGUAACGGCUCACCAAGGCCACGAUACAUAGCCGACCUGAGAGGGUGAUCGGCCACACUGGGACUGAGACACGGCCCAGACUCCUACGGGAGGCAGCAGUAGGGAAUCUUCGGCAAUGGGGGCAACCCUGACCGAGCAACGCCGCGUGAGUGAAGAAGGUUUUCGGAUCGUAAAGCUCUGUUGUUAGAGAAGAACGGUAAUGGGAGUGGAAAAUCCAUUACGUGACGGUAACUAACCAGAAAGGGACGGCUAACUACGUGCCAGCAGCCGCGGUAAUACGUAGGUCUCGAGCGUUGUCCGGAUUUAUUGGGCGUAAAGCGAGCGCAGGCGGUUAUUUAAGUCUGAAGUUAAAGGCCGUGGCUCAACCAUGGUUCGCUUUGGAAACUGGAUAACUUGAGUGCGGAAGGGGAGAGUGGAAUUCCAUGUGUAGCGGUGAAAUGCGUAGAUAUAUGGAGGAACACCGGUGGCGAAAGCGGCUCUCUGGUCUGUAACUGACGCUGAGGCUCGAAAGCGUGGGGAGCAAACAGGAUUAGAUACCCUGGUAGUCC